UUACAUGUUCCGACUCCUUCGCUGGUCGCGCCGUCGACCAUCAAUCUCAGGAGGAUCACGUUUGUUCAUUUCAUCGAGAGCACCAUUCCAGAACUAUUUUAAAAAAAAAAAAAAAAUGGAGCAAGGAAAAUUCAUCUCAAAAAAGCGAUUCCGUUCGAUUCAGUUGGCGAUUUCAAGCGUUCUGAAUUGAUCCCAGUGGCGGUCGCCCGCGUCAACAGCCUCUUCAAUGCCGCGACUCAUCUCCUUCGUUUCCCUUCCGCGGCCGAGAGCUUCGAAAUGUUGUCGUUCCGCUCGAAGCUUCUCCACCUGUUCAGGUUUCGAUCAUCGACACGUUCUAUAGCUUCUUUCAGUGAUUCGUGCGCCAAACCGCGGCCUCAGUCCACUUGAUUAACCGGGUAGCAUCUCCUGUUCUGUCGUCACAAGUAAGAGGCCGAGAGUCCGAUUCUCUUAUUAUGAUGAAAUUGAUCAUAGCUGACUUUUUUUUUCUUUGACUUCGAACAUCAUGUACUGAUUUAGGUUGAGUCUAGUUACAAAUUUGGGUUCGAAAUGGCUUUGAUCUGUUCCACAACCGAUUCACCAUAAUCUGUUCGAUGAAAUGUGUCUCAGACCUUGGUGUGAAUUGAUUCCAGUAAUCGUCCGAUUUGAAAGCACAUUAGUGAUGUUCACUUGAUAUUGUUUGAUUUUUUAAUCUUUAGACAUGAUUACGAGUAUACACCAAUAGUUGCCAAGGAUGAAACUGACUCUCCGUUUGUUUCCUCGGUGGUUCCUGUGAUCUUUUGGUGAUUGGUGGUGGUUGGCGAGACGAGAAGGCUUGGAGUCACUGGCACACGCGUGAUCUUUGGUGAUGAUCAUAGUACACCCUGUUGAACAGAAUUCAGAUGACGUCGCUGAGCAUGAAUCGCGAUCACGCCAAUUCAGAUCACUAACUUUGGCCGACACAUGUUUCGGUCACUAACUGGAGCAAUGUUAUGGCUACUUGCUAGCCUUAUCGUUGCUGCUGAGUUGCCUCACAAUUUCCUCAACCGCCGAGCUUUUCUUCUGUCCAUGCCUUGCAGUCCAUCGUUGCCAUUGUAAUUGCUGUGGAUUUUGCGCAUCUUCUUAAACCGAAUCAUGGGAAAGCUAAGCGGUUCGAAGUCCAGUCGUCAUGGGGUCAAUACUUUGUCACAAAAUCAUCGCAGAUUACCUGCUUUGCCAUUCCUGUCUUGUCCUUUGGUUAUUGAUUACUCCACCUUCGUCAAUUUCAUUGUCCAGAAGCAGGUGCUAAAUCUGAGAACACCCACUAAAAUGAUAUUUUAUUUGUGUCGUCUACUUCCUGCUUUAUUCUCUGUGCAUGACAUAUUCUACUUCACACGUGCUGUCGAGGGAAAUCAUGGUCGACAAUCAAUAUGAAGUGAGCAAGUUAUAUUUACUCUCUGUCAUUAGUUGAUAAGCUUUUGGGUAUGACAAUCAAGGAAUGAAACCAGUUAGUAGCUUGCUCAGAAUUAGUAAAUGAGGAUUUAUUUCUUUCUUGGAAGUGUCAAUGUCAUUGCUUUGUCUCUGAUCGUGGAAAGAGUUUAUUGUUCUUUUUGAACUUGCAUAAAAAUCGAUGGAAUGCUUAUGAAGCAGUGAGAUACCCGAAAUUUACAAGUUA